rnacentral:ncRNA from 2 species
AUUCAAGAUGAUUGGAAGUAUGUUGCCAUGGUGAUUGAUCGUAUUUUUCUGUGGGUUUUCACCCUGGUGUGCAUUCUAGGGACAGCAGGAUUGUUUCUGCAACCCCUGAUGGCCAGGGAAGAUGCAUAAGCACUAAGCUGUGUGCCUGCCUGGGAGACUUCCUUGUGUCAGGGCAGGAGGAGGCUGCUUCCUAGAACAAAAAGCCCAAGAGAUCCAACAAUUGAAACGAAAAGAAAAGUCCACAGAAACAUCCGAUCAAGAACCUGGGCUAUGAAUUUCCAAUCUUCAACAACCUGUUAGGAAAAAAAUAAAAAUGCAUUAAAUAAUUGUAAA